rnacentral:rRNA from 1 species
AGGGUUUGAUCAUGGCUCAGGAUGAACGCUAGCGACAGGCUUAACACAUGCAAGUCGAGGGGCAGCAGGGAGUAGCAAUACUCCGCUGGCGACCGGCGCACGGGUGAGUAACGCGUAUGCAACCUACCUAUCAGAGGGGAAUAACCCGGCGAAAGUCGGACUAAUACCGCAUAAAACAGGGGUCCCGCCUGGGAAUAUUUGUUAAAGAUUUAUCGCUGAUAGAUGGGCAUGCGUUCCAUUAGAUAGUUGGUGAGGUAACGGCUCACCAAGUCUACGAUGGAUAGGGGUUCUGAGAGGAAGGUCCCCCACACUGGUACUGAGACACGGACCAG